AUGUACCCCUCGCACACGCCGGUUCUGAGCGCGCCGCCCACACCCGCCUGACGACCGCUCGCUACGUUGUGUCAGCC
rfam:Xanthomonas campestris pv. campestris str. ATCC 33913, complete genome.